rnacentral:rRNA from 1 species
AAAACGGAGAGUUUGAUCCUGGCUCAGGAUGAACGCUGGCGGUAUGCUUAACACAUGCAAGUCGAACGGUCUCUUCGGAGAUAGUGGCGGACGGGUGAGUAACGCGUGAGAAUCUGGCUUCAGGUCGGGGACAACCACGGGAAACUGUGGCUAAUACCGGAUAUGCCGAGAGGUGAAAGGCUUGCUGCCUGAAGAUGAGCUCGCGUCUGAUUAGCUAGUAGGUGUGGUAAAAGCGCACCUAGGCGACGAUCAGUAGCUGGUCUGAGAGGAUGAUCAGCCACACUGGGACUGAGACACGGCCCAGACUCCUACGGGAGGCAGCAGUGGGGAAUUUUCCGCAAUGGGCGAAAGCCUGACGGAGCAAUACCGCGUGAGGGAGGAAGGCUCUUGGGUUGUAAACCUCUUUUCUCAGGGAAGAAAAAAAUGACGGUACCUGAGGAAUAAGCAUCGGCUAACUCCGUGCCAGCAGCCGCGGUAAUACGGAGGAUGCAAGCGUUAUCCGGAAUGAUUGGGCGUAAAGGGUCCGCACGUGGCUAUGUAAGUCUGCUGUUAAAGAACCUAGCUUAACUAGGUAAAAGCAGUGGAAACUACAAGGCUAGAGUGCGUUCGGGGUAGAGGGAAUUCCUGGUGUAGCGGU